rnacentral:snoRNA from 1 species
AAGACUGUACUUUCAGGGAUCAUUUCUAUAGUUCAUUAUUAGAAAAAUAAAGGCUGCUAGAUUAAGGGAAGUAAUCAGGUAUCAGACCUACUUCUUGGCAGGACCGUGGAACAAAAUCUUGAUGAAGGCCUCACAGAAGCAUAUUUCUCACUGUGUGCCAGAAAGUACCUAUCUGA